AAGUCGUAACAAGGUUUCCGUAGGUGAACCUGCGGAAGGAUCAUUAACACAAAAAACAAUCCCAUAUCCACCCCUUUUUUAUAACGAACUAUGGUUUUUCUUUUUUUUCGGAUUCGGAGCUCUCUCUACUUAUCGCCAAGAUAAGGACAGAGACGACGGACGGAAAAAGAAACUCUCAUUUUCUCCUCUUUAUUACCCUCUUAUUUUUACCCCAAAACAACCAAUACCAAACAUGCGAUAGACUGAUAUUUAUUUAUCAACGAUAUAAUAAUCAAUGAUACAUAAAACAACUCUUAGCAACGGAUAUCUUGGCUCUC
rnacentral:misc_RNA from 1 species